AAUAUUGUGCUCAGAUUUAACAAUGUAUGAAAUAUCAUAGUUUUAUGUUUCACCAAAGCAAAUUCCACUUUAGUAUAAAUAUCUCGUUCUAAAACUUAAAAUACUGAAGAAAAAAAAUAACCCAUAUAGAUCUUAAGAAGAGACGGCUCCCCCACUUAGAGUCUCGACUCCGGGUUCACUCCUGUUUUCCCGCCUCCAGACGACACAGUCCACCCUCACCUGUCCCCAAACCUGAUUUACCUUUGCUUCCCUUUGCUAGUGAGUAUGUAUAGAUUUCUUUAUCUAAAUGCAACACCUCCAUUCUGGGUUUAGAACCAGUGCUUUUAAAAACACUGUGGCUCUUCCAGGUUUGUCAGAAACUUCUCUAUUUCUCCACACAUUCGGUUCCACUUUUUGCCUUUAGUGCUCUUCAGAAAACUGAUGCUGCUUUUCCUAUAGAAGGUUUGUUGUGGUAUCUCUGCUGCUUUCAUGUGAUAUUGCAGUGCCUUGCUUCUAUCGUUUCGAUUGAAUAAAACGUGUGCAUAGUUGUUGUAAAUCAUCUGUUUGUCUGCAGCUUCUAGAUCACUUUUUAGCAGUUCCUGGAAUAUCUGCUCAGCUUUAGCCUGGCCGUGACUUGACUUUGCGUAUAUAUUUGUGAGGUCUAUUUUCUUCACAAGAGAAGACUGAGGGUAAAGAGAAAUCACCUCCUCAUGGAGACUGAUUGCUCUCUCUAUCAUUCUUUGAUUUUGGCGACUAUCCCAGGAAAAAAAUAUCUUCCAUUUGUAGCAGAGUGCAGCACAGCUCUUCAG